GGGUGAACCAGAGGAAAUAAAAUUAAUAAAUAAAUGUGGGCUUUUUGGCAAAAGAAUUGGGGGCGGAUACAUUGUGGAACUGUGCGGCGGAAAGGGGGAACGUGUAAUGAAAUGGUGUUGUAUGUUGCCUCCCCCGUCCCGUUGCGUUGUUAGGCCUGGAUCUAAGUUAUGUGAGGGUUGGUGGCCUCUCUUUCUGACUUUGUCCUCCCUCUCACUCGGCCUCCUCGUCCCGCCCAAGGGGACUUAAUCACAUUCUCUCCCUCGACCGCAUCCCGUGCUCCGAGAGUUCGCGCCUUGUUUAACUGUGCAAACAGAAACGACGGGCCAGACAGAUGUCACCGACGCAGCCAACUUCAUAGAGAUCAAACAGCAGAUCGAUCAGCUUAUUAUUCUUCUCGAGAGAGCCAAAAACUGGCUACCUCAAAGUUGUUUUAUUCUACCUUCGUCGCGGCGUCACGAGUAUACUAAACCGCUUGACGGCUCAUCGUUCCCGGUUUAAAGGAACAUUGCGCCGUAUUUUUCAUCAUUUCGCCACCCUUGCGCCAUUUUAUUAUCUUUUCGCUUGUUGCUAUAUUCAAUGCAGACGACGAAUUUAUUAAGCGUUUUUUUGAUAAGGCAGCUUAUUAAACAAUGGGAGGGAAUUUGUAAGUAAUACAAUUUACCGGAACGGAAAAUAAGAAUUUACGUGUUUGUGCUGUUACAAUGCGUGCAACAUUUUUAAAAUUGUCUGUCUAAAUAAACCACUAAAUAUAAACAGUCGCAUCCUCGUUUUUUUGUGAUAUUUCGAGCUUCAACACUACACUAGUAAAAGCAUUUCGGUCUAUCGAUACGAAAAUUCAAAAAAUAUUUUCUUUUUUAUAUACCUACGGACACACACACAAAAAUUAAACUGAACGCUUAAGUUUAAAUGUGACAAUUGUUGAAAAAGAUUAGACGGCUGAUACAAAAGUCAUAUCAGAAAUAUUUUUUUAAAUCACCUGACCUAGAUGAAAAUAAAGAUUGACUCAUUUACUUCCAAAUUUUACUAUAAGAUAAUACUGACGAUAUUAAUGAUUUGAUUUAAUUGAAUUCCAUGAUUAAAAAAAACAUGCAAGUUAAAUACAAUGACUUUUAAAAAGACAGUACUUUAGUGAAACUAAAACAUUCACUGUAUUUUCCAUGAGCCUAUUCUGGGUUUUUUCCCUUGGAAUGAAAAACCGACAUUCCAAUUGCUAGGAUCCGGAGAGCAGGCUUCCCAGUGCUUUUUCAACGGACGGUGUAAUAUUUCAGAUCUGGAACGUUUUUUGAUGCAGAAACACAUCCACACAUGAUUCUGGGAUGCACUGGAGGUUCUUCGGCUAUCCGGUUUCUUCUUCGGCGAAAAACACCAGCUUGUUAACCAGCUACAGAAGCCCUUAUUCGCUGGAACCUUUUCUUCGGAUUUCUUUAGCUGUUUUUCCGAUUCUGGGAUCGGAUGGUUGGUUCGUUGAAUCUACAUGUACUGACAUUUUCACGUACUCUUCAAGCAAACUCAUCGCCAAAAAUACCACAGUUAAACGUCAUAACCAAUCGACGAGAAACGAGCGCCGUCGAUUAUACUCUGCGCAACAAUAAAUGGGUGCUUCUCACCUUUCUCUGUAUUAACGAAUUAUACGUCCCGAUCGGCAAAUAAUUACGUACGUACGUGAAUACGAUAUUCGUGAUGUUUUUUCCAUUGUUUUUACAACGUAUAGAAGGAACAUCUAAGCGCCCAAAAGUAAGAAUACAUAAGUACAGCCAACAAAGAAGUGAUUCAGACGUGCUUUCGGUAUCUUGAAAAUUGUGUGCUCGUUAAACAAACUUUAAAUAAAAUCUUAUCAUCUGGUUUAAUAUCUUUUUCAGCUGCGUUUUUCUUAGAAAUAUUUAUUCGAUCGUGUAAAUUAUGUAUAAAAGAGCUUCUUGGACUCCUUCUGAGGAAGAGUCACCCCUUUUAUCCUGAACCUUUUAACUUGAUUCUUUUUCACUAAGCCCUUGCCGGUCGUCCGCUUGUGUAAGAAGUUUCAAUAAAAUAUUUCCUUUUAGUAGUGGGGUGGGACCGUUGAGAAAUGAAAGAUUAAAAACAGAAUCCACUUCCGUUCAGAAUCCAAUAACAGCAUUGAAAGGUCGAUUGAUUCCAUUUCCGAUCCAAGGUGUUCAUUGUAAAUUAAUUGUGUAAAAACAGAACCGAGGUACUACGUCAAUCAACAACUUUUCACCAACUGUCGAAAUUUUCGUUUUCGGUUUUUUUCUUACUCCUAAGUUUUCACAAAUGACUGAGAAAACAUCAUGAAACACCUCGGCUUUUCUUUUCUGGCGUUGAAAUAAAGGAGGUCGCCGUUGUAUUUAGGCGUUUCUUUUGACAAGGCCUUCGAUGGAACCUCAAAUUGACUAAUUCAGGAAGGAAAAUGCUAGGUCUGAUGUAAUUCCUCGCUAAUAAUUUCAUAUUUAGGACGUAUAUUAA